rnacentral:lncRNA from 1 species
AGAAUAGAAUAGAAUAUCUUUUAUUUCCAUAAGAGGUACCCUCAAAGGGCAUAGUGCAUGUACAUAUAUGACAAUAUAAAGUUACAAUUAACAAAUACAAUAAAGCAGAACAACAAAACAGUAUGCUAAAGUUAGACAUUAUAAAUAUUGCUAACAGUAUCCCAGUGUUAUAUAAUAAAUGUUUACUCAAGGCAGGUGUUUUGAUAAGAAAUAGCCAAGUUGUUUCAAAAUAUUAAUAAACUCACAGUUUAAUA